UUGGAUUGAGCCUUGGUAUGGAAAAUCCGUCGACUUUAGAAAUCGUGAGGGUUCAAGUCCCUCUAUCCCC
rnacentral:tRNA from 1 species